GACGUAGGGUGCAAGCGUUGUCCGGAUUUAUUGGGCGUAAAGAGCUCGUAGGCGGCUUGUUGCGUCGACUGUGAAAACCCGCGGCUUAACCGCGGGCUUGCAGUUGAUACGGGCAGGCUAGAGUUCGGUAGGGGAGACUGGAAUUCCUGGUGUAGCGGUGAAAUGCGCAGAUAUCAGGAGGAACACCGAUGGCGAAGGCAGCUCGCUGGGACGGUACUGACGCUGAGACGCGAAAGCGUGGGGAGCAAACAGG
rnacentral:rRNA from 1 species